ACAAGCAGUGCGUCAGUGCGCGCCUGGGAUCCGAACCCGGGCGGCCAGUAGCGGAGCGCGCGCACUUAACCACUAAGCCACCAGGCUGGCCCCAAGAAAGGGAAACUUUUACUUCAUUGGUGAUAAGGAGAAUGCAUGACACCAUUCCUAUAGAUUAAAACAAUCUUGAGAAGGCAGAGCUUGUUUUAUUUUUAGUUCUCCACCUUCUCUUUGGCAUGAAAAAUAGGUCUGAGAGUGUUUGUUUUUAUACCCAUUUACUUUUCUGUUUUAUCUAAGAUUCUGAGAUGAUCUGACAGUAUAUCCUAACCAGCUAGAAACAGCAAUUUUCUCAUUUUCUACAUAGACAAGUUAUCUGUGUUUUAAUCUCACUGGCAAAGAACCUUUUCACAUUCAAAGGAUACAGAGGACCACACAGAGAGUGAUAAAUGCUGAGAGAAUAACUCGUGGAAUUCCAACUUUUCGUCCUUCAUUCUUGAUGUUGACUUUGAGUGUCAAUGCAGCCUGGAUCCAGCAGGUCAACGUGCCAAAUCCAAAGGUCAGGGAAGUUCCAACAUUAUGGAUUUCUUCAUCAUUCGUGAGCUAUGGGAUGAACAGAUAAUGACGUGUGGAGGCCCAUUUGGAGAAGACAUACAAGCCAAUGGAAUACAUGAGGGAGAAAGACUAGAUAUUCCAGAAAGUGUUCCUCAUUCAUGGUUUUGAAUACUUGUGCUUCACCAGAACAUCCCAAUCUCUGGGAUUCUUCUAGGACUUUAGUAAAGAACAAAACACCUACUCAGUAACUUCCAUCCCACCCCUGCUUGAGGGAAAUGACAGGUAUUGAGCACUUUACAACAUGCCAGCACCUGCAGCACAGACAGUGUUGUUCUCCGAGUUUCCAAAAAACAAGGUCAGCUCUGACAGACGGGCUUAGGAGAACACCGCAGAGGCUGGACACACAACAAAUAAGACGGGCAUAGACAGCCCACGGUAAGAGAAUUCCCCGAUUCGGUCAUCCUUGAGUUUAACGGUGUUAGAACACACAGGGCAGGAAACACGGGAAGGAAGACAAAGUUCCCCAUCUCGACAAACCUGCUGGUCCCUGUGUGAGAAAUCAUUCCUGGGAUAGGAGAAGACAAAGGCCAGUGGGCAAAGCCCUUCAUUACUGCUUUACUCCCACUGCCCUCUGAUUCUACCUGGGGGAGUUCACGGUCAAAGGACAAAGAUGGGUAAUCCAAAUUAGAGCAGUUACAGUAACCAAAAUAUGAAAUCUGAUAGCAGAUUUGGGGGGUUGGUAUGCACUAAAAAUCAUACUGAUUAUAUUGAGAAAGCUCAAUUCUUCCACAUGAUAUUAAUUACUCAUUUUAAAAGACCACUCUAUCUUUUGAAGCAAAUUGUUCUCGAAGAAUCUGAAGAGAGAAUGAAGGAAGUUACCUAGAUUUCAAACCCUGCUUCUAAAAGUAACCUUGAGGACAGUCCAUACUCAAGCCUCUAAUAUAAGAAUCCUCUUUUAUUAAUGCUUAGUGCAGGGCUAUUUUCAUAUUCAUACAAAUAGCUGGGAGAGGUUAGUGUACACAGGAUAAAAAAAGCACUUGCAGUUAAUAUAAAUUAUAUCUACAUAUAAGGAAAUGCAGUUACUACUUCCUAAGACAAUUUAUUCUGACAUUAAGGUUUAGCAUGGAAGACAAUUAGAAAUUCAAGAAUUACCCUAUUUAUACAGCAAUUAAGUAGGUAAUUAUUUGCUAAAGGUUUUACCUUGAUUAAGGCCAUUAUUAGUAGCCAUUAAAAAAGAAGACCCAUCCAUAAAUUUGCAUUUCCCAAGUAUGCUGAAUUGCAUAGUUUCAAGCUAUGAAGAUAAGCUCAGUGAGUUGACUUUCAGUUUCAAGUACUUCUGAUCAAAGAGUGGUAUAUAACUUGGCUAAUAUUUGGAUUUGGGAAACAAAAUGGAAAUAAACCAUAAUUCAUGAAAUCUCACAUUGUUCAGCUCUGAUUUAGCUUUUAGCAUAUUUAUGUUUCAGCUAAUGCCCACUA